rnacentral:rRNA from 1 species
GAUGAACGCUGGCGGCGUGCCUAAUACAUGCAAGUCGAGCGAAUGGAUUAAGAGCUUGCUCUUAUGAAGUUAGCGGCGGACGGGUGAGUAACACGUGGGUAACCUGCCCAUAAGACUGGGAUAACUCCGGGAAACCGGGGCUAAUACCGGAUAACAUUUUGAACCGCAUGGUUCGAAAUUGAAAGGCGGCUUCGGCUGUCACUUAUGGAUGGACCCGCGUCGCAUUAGGUAGUUGGUGAGGUAACGGCUCACCAAGGCAACGAUGCGUAGCCGACCUGUGAGGGUGAUCGGCCACACUGGGACUGAGACACGGCCCAGACUACUACGGGAGGCAGCAGUAGGGAAUCUUCCGCAAUGGACGAAAGUCUGACGGAGCAACGCCGCGUGAGUGAUGAAGGCUUUCGGGUCGUAAAACUCUGUUGUUAGGGAAGAACAAGUGCUAGUUGAAUAAGCUGGCACCUUGACGGUACCUAACCAGAAAGCCACGGCUAACUACGUGCCAGCAGCCGCCGUAA